GCGAAUUUAAGCACUGAUAACGUACCGGUUCGCUUGAGCGUAUGGCAUAACGCACGUCAUCUUUAUUCGCAUGCGAACGAGCUGAGUAAUUUUGGCUGGCAGUGCGUUAGCUUAAGCAACUAACGCAAACUUAACGCGGUCGUAAACGCGACCAGGUGACUUUUAACGCGAGCGUUACCUUACCUAUAGGUGUAACGCAUACGCAAGCGAAUGUCAUACGCGGCUGCGACUGGUGCGAUUGCGUAUGCACAUGCGAAUGUGGCGAAUGAACUCGCGAGUUUUACGCGACCCUAAACGCGACCAGGUGACUUUUAACGCGAGCGUUAGCUUAGCUAUAGGUGUAACGCAUACGCCUGCGACUGGUGCGAAUGCGUAUGCACAUGCGAAUGUGGCGAAUGAAUUCGCGAGUUUUACGCGACCCUAAACGCGACCAGGUGACUUUUAACGCGAGCAUUAGCUUAGCUAUAGGUGUAACGCAUACGCCUGCGAAUGGUGCGAAUGCGUAUGCACAUGCGAAUCUGGGACUGGUCUGGGUUGACACUACUGCGAUUCGCGGUUUAAGGUCCUGGGUUCGAUUCCUGGGGAGACCCCCGAAUUAGUCGGGAGCGCGAGAUUAUGGCUAGCUGCUGAGAUGAGGAGUUGAGGUCGCAGUUGAUGGACCAGAUUCGCACGCUGGAUUGGUGGCGAUUGCCGAACCCUCCGUCUCUUCGGUUGUUCGGGUGAAUGGAUGAGGAGGGGUCCUAGACGGCUGGACCCGCCGCCUUGGACUUACAGUUCGUAUGGCGAAGUAUAGUGUGGUAGUGGUGGAUGGUGCUAUAAGAUGAUAAAUCGUAGAACUGACAAUGUGAUAAAAGCGGCCCAGAAGCCUCCUACUCUGUAACAUUACUACUACAUGCGAAUGUGGCGAAUGAAUUCGCGAGUUUUACGCGACCCUAAACGCGACCAGGUGACUUUUAACGCGAGCAUAUCGCCAAACGCAAGGGAUUGCGAAUGGCAUACGCGACUGCGAAUCCUGCGAAUGCAUGUGCUACCAUUUGAAUUUUACGCGAGUGACUGCGACUUGUGUGCGGGACUGCGAACUGUACGGCCAACCGUGCAAUACAAAAGCUUUACAAUAGCAGUACACGAGCUGUACAAAGUGCAAAGUGCACCGCCGUUGCACAUGACCUGCAGGUUCACAGCUGUGAACCACAGCACUCACUGCUUUCUUCAUGCAUUUCAACUAUCCCUGAAUGACAGGUACGAAUUCAUAGCAAAUCCUAACAUGACCGAUGCAACUCAGCCAGCAACUCUUACCACGGAAAAGGGUCCAACAGUCUAACGUCAGAAAAAAUGGACACACAAAUGUUAAGCGCAUGUAACUGUACCACAAAACAGCCACUAUUGUCUUCUUAUUAAAGCGCUCAAUCCUCGCCUCCGCUGGUGUCAUCUUCACGAACGACGGCAUAUAUCUGCAUAUGAAAGGAUCACAACAAAUCAUUGUUUAGGCAGGAACAUAUACCCCGCCGGCGGACGGUCCCCUGUCCGCAACGCCGUACAUCCUGACCGUUCCAGCGGACGGCUAGCGGACGGUCAUGGAAACGAUGGUCCAAAGCUCCAAAACAUCUGUAUGUAGAUGAUUCAUGAGACGCUAAUAAUUAAUGCUCCAGCUUGCACUCCUUGGCAAGCAAUUAACGCGCAAAACACUCGCCAGGAGAAACUAACCCCAAAAUUGUGACGCACAUAGCCAAAAGGCUUCUAGCAUAAAAGGAGAAAGCAAUCGAAAGGAAAAAGACAACAUCCGAAGGCGCGCGGCGGACAUUCUAAUGACCUGUUUAUGUAACCUGCUUAAAUAACACCAACGCACUGGAACAAUUGAAUCAUGCAAUAAGGUCAUUGCAAUGGCCACAAGCACUGGGCAUUAGUGAAAGGGAUUCAGCAAAGACUGACCGUCACGCCCAACACGUCGUUCCAUCCCUUUGUCGGCUCUGAAUGGCACAAUGAAUGCUCUACUGGGUAAAUGAUCAUUUGGCGGUGGAAAGAGGCCAUUGUAUAGCAUCCGAGCUGGCGCACAGCUUGCGCAUGUCCCCAAGACCCAACACGGCACCACGCCCCGCACCCGGUUACGCCCUUGUCCUGCAUUCCACCUGCCAGCCUGUCUGUGCAACACAGCGCAUGGCGGGCAGGCCAAUGAAGCCAUACCAAAGUUUCGUUCAAGACUGGGGUCCCAAGCUCUCAGAAUCCCAGGCUGCCAGGCUCCCAGGCACAUAGGCUGCCAGGCACAAAGUCUCUUAGAAUCCCAGGUUCCCAGGCUCCCAGGCACACAGGCUCCCAGGCACACAGGCUCUUAGCAUCCCAGGCUGCCAGGUUCCCAGCCUGCCAGGCACACAGGCUGCCAGGCACAAAGGCUCUUAGAAUCCCAGGCUGCUAGGUUCCCAGGCUGCCAGGCACAAAGGCUCUUAGAAUCCCAGGCUGCCAGGCUGCCAGGUUCCCAGGCACACAGGCUCCCAGACUCUUAGCAUCCCAGGCUGCCAGGUCCCCAGGCUCCCAGGUUCCCAGGCUCUCAGAAUCCCAGACUCCCAAGCACACAUGCCCUCAGAAUCCCAGGCUUCCAGGUUCCCAGGCUCUCAGAAUCCCAGGCUCCCAGGCACACAUGCUCUCAGAAUCCCAGGCUCCCAGGCACACAUGCUCUUCGAAUCCCAGGCUCCCAGGUACACAUGCUUUUAGAAUCCCAGGCUUACAGGCACACAUGCUCCCAGGUACACAGGCUCUCAGAAUCCCAGGCUGCCAGGUUCCCAGACUCUUAGGUUCCAAGGCUCCCAGGCUCCCAGGCUCUCAGAAUCCCAGGCUCCCAGGCACACACGCUCUUAGAAAGCCAGGCUGCCAGGUCCCCAGGCUCCCAGGUUCCCAGGCUCUCAGAAUCCCAGGCUCCCAAGCACGCAUGCUCUUAGAAUCCCAGGCUCCCAGGUCCCCAGGCUCCCAGGUUCCCAGGCUCUCAGAAUCCCAGGCUCCCAGGUUCCCAGGCUCUCAGAAUCCCAGGCUCCCAGGCACACAAGCUCUUAGAAAGCCAGGCUGCCAGGUCCCCAGGCUCCCAGGCACACAGGCUCUCAGAAUCCCAGGCUGCCAGGUUCCCAGACUCUUAGGUUCCAAGGCUCCCAGGCUCCCAGGUUCCUAGGCUCUCAGAAUCCCACGUCUGUAAUUUUUCCACGUGACUAUAGACGAACUAUUUUGAGUUUUAGACGGCUCGUCUAUAGCUGAGUUUUUUAGACGAUAUAGACGACCGUCUAAUAGACGACCCAUAGACGACCGUCUAUACCCAGUCGUCUAUAGACAGGUCGUCUAUAGAUUACGUCUAUAGACGACGCGGAUAUAGACGGUUAUCUAUAGACAAGUCGGAUAUAGACACUGUCUAUAGACAGUCGGGUAUAGGCUAUUAUCUUUUAGACGGCAGUGGAUGGCGGGCAUCGUUCCUUAUUCAUGUGUUACAAUCUCAAGUCGUUUCCUCUCUGAACUUCCACCAGGGCUUCAUCCACCAUGUUAAUCAGGUUCCGGGUCCAGGUUUGUCAUUGCCAUUGACACUAGCAAACCAGUGGUUGUCAUCAACCUUGGCUGAUGAAACCUCAACCUUGGUUGUCAUCAACGACAUCAAUAUCCACAGUAUCCAAAUCCAUGUCUCCUUUAGGCAUACACAAGGCAUGCGCUUCCAGGCUCCAACCAUCCCAGCAUCACAAGUACUGAGUACUACUUAAACCAUGAGUGCUUCUCCUUUUCCUUUUCCAUAAGGACCCUGGUAAGCUCUUCCCGAGCCGCCGAGGGCUGCAAAUCCUUCCGUGCCCUCACCUCAUCCAUCACCUCCUCACUCACAACAGGAAUCAGGUCAUCUGGGGGCAACCCCACCAGGUCAUUCAAGACAAACUUAGGGUUCAGCUCGGCAGCUGUGUGCCCACCCUUGCUGUUACCAGUCACAACCCUGCGUGACUUCCCACCCUUCCCACUGGCACUGGGUGCCUGUGCCCCCUUGCCCUUUGGGGGCACACAGACAAUGCAAACCCGCUGCAGCACUGUCUCCAGCGGUAUGCAGCCGAAUGAUGCGGCUGGCUGGCCACUCCGCCUGUCAAGGGUCACGAGUGGGUGCAAAUGUGGGAUUAGUGUUUGUGGGGCUGUCAGUGUCCCCAGGGCAGGGUUAGACCUGAUCUGCCCAUGCGAUGGCCCUUCAAGUCAAGAACCUCCUGCUUCUGCAAGAUGUAGACAGCAACAGAAUGACAAAUACUACAACAUGUUCUUAUACUUUGGCCCAAAUAGACUCUGAGGUCACUCACCAGGCAGUUGCUCUCGUAUUCGUCAUCGUGUGCAGCCCCCCUGGCCGUGACAAUGUUGAGCUUGCUGGUAACCUGCAGGAGAGUACAGAAGCAAGUGACAAGCAGUGAAGCGUAGCAACUGGGGGGGGGGGGUAUCUCCAUUUUCUUGUUGGUGAAUUGGUAGCUGGCCCACAGGAUUUUGACAUAGCUUUCUUUUGGGCCGGUUGUGGUCAGGUCGGUCAUGCCAUACUGUCUAAUGUCCCUUGCUUGCGUCCUUGAAGGGUGCCAGGGCCACAUCAAGUGCGGCCUGGAGGACCUUGCGCUUCAGGGACCGGAAGGACAGGCUAUCCUUGCCCUCACCUGCAUGUGAGUGGUACACAGAGGUGGUAGUCCCACAAAGAAUUGUAGAUACCCUUCAAAGUAUCUGCAGAUGGGGUGUAGGCCUCGCCUGGAAACUGCUUGAACAGGCGCAAAAACUCCUGGAGCUUGCAACCUGCAGGCAUCACAUUUCAACUUGCAGUAAGCAUUGUGGCUUGCUAUCAACUAGGCACCAAAAACAGCAUGCUUAGAAACAGUGAGUAAUGCUGGUAAACACUGGUAACACUGGCCAAUGCUGGUAAAAACGCACCCGAGAGGUUCGCCGCGAGGAAGGUCUCCACCUCUGAAGACAAACUUUUCUCAGGUGGCUUUUCACUAUUUGCCUCUGCAUACUUGUCUAGGUGGUCAAGGUAUGAGACGCCCAUCUCGAACGUGCCAAUUGAUGGCUCGUCAAGAGGAACACUCUGCCUGCAUUCCACAUUCACCACCAGUACUGGCUCAUUGUCUGUGAAUAAUUUAUCAUUGUUGGCGACGUCUCCACCGGCAACGCAGCAGCCAGGCAGCGUUGACUCGAUAACACCCUUGCAGCCAUAGGGGUUGCGAAGGAGAUGCAGGCGCAGCUCCUUGAACUCUCGUCCACAGUGAGGGCACCUCUGGGUGGACAUAUUGAUGACCAGUCGCGGCAGGUGAGAAUGCUCAGUGAAAGUCUGGCAGUUGACCAGGGCCUCUCCCUAUGUGAUAACCAGUGAAGUAAUUGCGACACCUGUGUCACUAUCUAAUUAUAGGAAAUUACACUAAAUAGAUUUGCUGUAACGUCCUCCAGGAAUGCGCAGAAUGUCUCGCCGAGGCCUGGGCACUGCUUCACUAGCUGUGGCUGCACUACAUAAAGNNNNNNNNNNNNNNNNNNNNNNNNNNNNNNNNNNNNNNNNNNNNNNNNNNNNNNNNNNNNNNNNNNNNNNNNNNNNNNNNNNNNNNNNNNNNNNNNNNNNNNNNNNNNNNNNNNNNNNNNNNNNNNNNNNNNNNNNNNNNNNNNNNNNNNNNNNNNNNNNNNNNNNNNNNNNNNNNNNNNNCCAGGCUCCCAGGCACACAGGCUCCCAGGCACACAGGCUCUUAGCAUCCCAGGCUGCCAGGUUCCCAGCCUGCCAGGCACACAGGCUGCCAGGCACAAAGGCUCUUAGAAGCCCAGGCUGCUAGGUUCCCAGGCUGCCAGGCACAAAGGCUCUUAGAAUCCCAGGCUGCCAGGCUGCCAGGUUCCCAGGCACACAGGCUCCCAGACUCUUAGCAUCCCAGGCUGCCAGGUCCCCAGGCUCCCAGGUUCCCAGGCUCUCAGAAUCCCAGACUCCCAAGCACACAUGCCCUCAGAAUCCCAGGCUUCCAGGUUCCCAGGCUCUCAGAAUCCCAGGCUCCCAGGCACACAUGCUCUCAGAAUCCCAGGCUCCCAGGCACACAUGCUCUUCGAAUCCCAGGCUCCCAGGUACACAUGCUUUUAGAAUCCCAGGCUUACAGGCACACAUGCUCCCAGGUACACAGGCUCUCAGAAUCCCAGGCUGCCAGGUUCCCAGACUCUUAGGUUCCAAGGCUCCCAGGCUCCCAGGCUCUCAGAAUCCCAGGCUCCCAGGCACACACGCUCUUAGAAAGCCAGGCUGCCAGGUCCCCAGGCUCCCAGGUUCCCAGGCUCUCAGAAUCCCAGGCUCCCAAGCACGCAUGCUCUUAGAAUCCCAGGCUCCCAGGUCCCCAGGCUCCCAGGUUCCCAGGCUCUCAGAAUCCCAGGCUCCCAGGUUCCCAGGCUCUCAGAAUCCCAGGCUCCCAGGCACACAAGCUCUUAGAAAGCCAGGCUGCCAGGUCCCCAGGCUCCCAGGCACACAGGCUCUCAGAANNNNNNNNNNNNNNNNNNNNNNNNNNNNNNNNNNNNNNNNNNNNNNNNNNAAAAAUCACUGGUUGGAAUGGCUGUUCAUCACAGCCUGUGCUGGUGAGAGUUUUCAAAACCAGCCGGCCUGUGCUGGGAAGUUGCCAGACAUUGCAGUUAUAAAGGACCAUGACGAGCCUUUGUUGUGGGCUUGUCGAUGAGGGGUGGGCUUCACUGAAGUCUGCCCAAUUAUCUCAAACUGCUACAGUUUUGUGGUAAGGAAGUGGGAGAGGCUGGGCACUGCCUGGUCCCCACAGCAUGUGCUGGGGUUUUGUAAGUAUGGCGAUAAUCGUUACAUGCCAGGCAGUGUUAGCCUGCCAGAACCUUGCCAACAUUGAUGCAGAACAGACAUCAGCUCAGCGGCAUGGUUUAACCCAAGCAGACACUCUCCAGCAUAUUGAACUCCUCUCACCGUCUACCCAUCGUCUAUUCUUCGUCUACAAUAGAUGAAUCGACUAUAGACGACAUGUAUAGACGACUCGACUUUAGACGAACUAUUGUAGAUGACUCGUCUAAUAGACGGGUCUUCAGGAUAUAGACGACCGAAAAAAAUACAGACGCAGGCUCCCAGGCACACAAGCUCUUAGAAAGCCAGGCUGCCAGGUCCCCAGGCUCCCAGGUUCCCAGGCUCUCAGAAUCCCAGGCUCCCAGGCACACAAGCUCUUAGAAAGCCAGGCUCCCAGGUCCCGAGGCUCCCAGGUUCCCAGGCUCUCAGAAUCCUACGCUCCCAGGCACACAGGCUCUCAGAAUCCCAGGCAGCCAAGCUCCCAGGUUCCCAAGCUCCCACGCUCCCAGGUUCCCAGGCUCUCCGGUUCCCAGGCUUUUAGAAUCUCAGGCUCACAGGCACACAAGCUCUUAGAAAGCCAGGCUGCCAGGUCCCCAGGCUGCCAGGUCCCCAGGCUCCCAGGUCCCCAGGCUGCCAGGUCCCCAGGCUGCCAGGUUCCCAGGCUGCCAGGUUCCCAGGCUGCCAGGUCCCCAGGCUGCCAGGUCCCCAGGCUGCCAGGUCCCCAGGCUGCCACGCUCCCAGGUCCCCAGGCUGCCAGGUCCCCAGGCUGCCAGGUCCCCAGGCUGCCAGGUCCCCAGGCUGCCAGGUCCCCAGGCUCCCAGGUUCCCAGGCUCCCAGAUUCGCAGGCUCUCAGAAUCCCAGGCUCCCAAGUAAACAUGCUAUCAGAAACCCAUGCUUACAGAAUCCCAGGCGCCCACACUCCCACGUUCCGAGGUUCCUAGGCACACAGGCUUUUAGAAUCCUAGGCUUCCAGGCACACAGGCUCUCAGACACACAGGGUCCCAUGCACACAGGUCGCCCAUGGCUGCGGUCCAAGCCUGGCCCCAAACCGCCAGAUAAAUAUGCUCCUACAUCUAAUUGACUUAGCCGAAUGCUAGUUUUAGCUUUGUUUACAUUUCAUGCAUUUGCUGGCUCCUAGCGCUUGCAUCGAUGUAGCCCCCAGUAUAGCACAUUGCAUUACAUUAUCCAUGAAAAGAUUAUAAAACUUUAAUUCACUAUAAGCUCAGCAAAUUGCAAGGCUAAAGGGCUCAUCUGGACGCAGUUUGCAUGCCGUGCUGCCGGCUUGCGCAAGGAAUCUCUGCGCGCGCUCCACGCCCGCGCGCGCCGCGAGCACCAGGAUAAACUACAACAAAAUGUCUUUUGCUUCGUGCAAAAAUAUGUUGGUAUGUGUUGGUAUGUGUGCCCGGAAAGCUGUGCCGGACGGUCGACCGUCCGGCAGACCGUCCGCCAUGGACGGCCCCACCGUCCGCCAGGGGGGGUAUAUGAACCACACAUAGUUGUGAGCAUGUUACGUACAAUGACGGCUGUAGGUGUGACACCGGCAUAACGUGCCUCGAAAUAAGGCAAUAAAAAGCAUUUAGUUAAUAGCCAUGGUCUUGCAACCAGAGGCUUCAUACCUCCGAACGGCCGCUACGUGGCCUGCCACGUCCCGUUUGAGCCCGACUCUUGUUCAUAUCCUUACCACCAUCCUUGCGCUUGUCCUAUUCCUUGCGAUUCUCCUGCUCGUGUCCUUGGAAUGUAAAAUGACAAGGCAUAAUGUCAGUGUAUGCACCUGCAUGAUGGCCACUUACUGCCGGUGCCGUCUAGUCCCCCUUUUCCUGCUUUCCCCUGCUUGCCUGCGUNNNNNNNNNNNNNNNNNNNNNNNNNNNNNNNNNNNNNNNNNNNNNNNNNNAUGCUAAUUCAUUAGGCUUUACCUAACACUGUCGUCAUUGGAGGAUCAGCGUGAGUAUAAGAAAUGCAUACGCGCUAAACAACAAAUUCAAGAUAAUCUUAUUAGUGCAAUGCGCGCAAUGAAUUACUGCCCUGAGGACACGGGCAGCACUGGGCCUUACGCCCAACUUACUCCCAACUCCCAACUAACCCUCUUACUUAACGCAAGCUCGCAUAAGUUGUUGCGUCAGAGACAAAUGCCAAAGGAGAAGAUACCCCCUCUAACGGUUGAAAUACUGAACCACCACGGCGCUUCGUGCCGAGCCGCAAGAGGGCCAAAGACGUGAGAGCUGCCAGACAGGCGCGCACACCGAAACUCCUGAAGCCAAACGCCUCGAAAGACCUCCGAACGACACCCCAGCAGCAGGGGCGGCGGACGCGCCACCUCUACGCAGGCAAAAGAGGGAACAAAAUAAACGCAAAGCGCCAACAGACUGACCCACCGCCACCGACGCGACGGAUCACUCAACAGUUGCUGACGGACGCCCACUGAAGGAAGGGUCGAUAGGAAGCCAAAACAUGUCCCCGCUCAGGGGUGACCAAGCGGCCAAAACUAGGGGCUUGAACUGAAACACUGGGUCUGCAACAAUGACCGCUCCACGAACCCAGGUCGCCGACAGCAGAGAAAACGGACAAAGAAAAGACACAGACCUAAUACGACAAACAACAAACACAAGGCCGCGAAAUGGAGACACACGAACCCAUUCAGCGCCAAAAGAAGUACUCGAACUUAGUCCAGAACCAGCGGUGUUGGAACCGGCGGUACCAUCGGAUAUCAAACAAAGCGAAACCGCUCCGAAAUCAGGGGAAUUCCAAUCGCUGGUGACACAACACGAUGAAAAAACCAACUACCUGCACGGUGCCUUCCGAGCGCACACCUUCGCACAACAAAUUCCUUCCUAUUUGCUCGUCGUAACUGCGUGUCCGCUCCCCUGCACAAUAUGCAACUAAGGCGCUACCUUAUUGGGGGUCCCAUUGCCCCUACAAGAUAUUAUGAGCCCCCAGGGGGGGGGCAUGAAAUGCUAGGAAAGCGCACCUCGGGGGCACACGACCCCGCAAUUGCAGCGCCACACUGACCGACCGAGUGCUAAGCAAAGCACCCACAAGACGACUGCACCCGCACUGCCAGACCUGCCAGGAAGGGGGGGAGAUAGGUGCUCGACCCUCCCUCAUCCGGCACAAACAGCUCCGUAUUCGAAGGCAGGAACACAAGGUCAACCGCCAACUCCAUAAACUGUUGCCACCAAGGUUGGGCCGUCCAGUACGGCACGACUAGGAAAGACACCCUAGCACUGCUUGAGUGCACGUGUUUUCCACACUGAUUAAGACAACACGCUGCUGAAAGAACGGAAGAAAGGACUCUAAUGCAGGAUGGACAGCAUGCAACUCCUUCCAACUGACGUGUCAUAGAGCUCUGGUGCCGACCAAUAACCGCGCGCCACACCAUCAUGCAGGACCGCGCCCCACGAAUGGCGCGAUGCAUCCACUGAAAGCUCAACUUCAGCAGGACCCUGGUGAAUAGCCGCCGAGCACUGGUGGGUAGGGAUGUCCGCCCACCACCCAAAGUCACGUAACGACCCACGGGGCAAGCACACUCGACCAGGAUAACCAACCGGUUGCUUCACAUCAUCGUAACAAUUGCGGAGAAAUAAGAGAGCUGGAGUAAGGGCCAAUUUGAUGCUCUGUGCAAAACUACAAAACUUAGCCAGCUCGCACUUCUGCACCAGACGCUGAUUUUUCUUUGCCGUGAUCCGCAACCCGAUCGCCAGCCACCACAAUUUUGCGAGCUUUUGCUUAGGCACCUCAAACACACCAGCUGCUGUAUUGACAGUAAUGCCUAAGUGAUACACUGACUGCGACGGCUCCCACUGGCACUUGGUGGGAUGACAUGACAAACCCAAAAACUCGAUCAUCUCACGCACCCAGCGUGCACAAAAACGUGCUUGCUCCUGGGAAGUAAACAUGAUUAGGAAAUCAUCCAAAUACGGUAGUACUCGCGCACCCGGACGUGAAGGACGCUCUGUCUGGGAAACGGGAAAAAACUUGUGGGCCGAGAGCAAGGGGCGAGGGACACUUGUGACCCUUGCCCGCCGCAGCCAAAGAAUCCCGCCAAAUACGCAGCACAUUGUGCAUGUACUGCUGAAGAGACGGUGUCUCUCUGGGACCUAGCAGACACGGCCAAGAGUAAUUGGCCGUUACACGUAGUCGGGAGGUCCGCGACCUGCCACCGAUAGCCCCUGCUGGNNNNNNNNNNNNNNNNNNNNNNNNNNNNNNNNNNNNNNNNNNNNNNNNNNCAUACGCGCUAAACAACAAAUUCAAGAUAAUCUUAUUAGUGCAAUGCGCGCAAUGAAUUACUGCCCUGAGGACACGGGCAGCACUGGGCCUUACGCCCAACUUACUCCCAACUCCCAACUAACCCUCUUACUUAACGCAAGCUCGCAUAAGUUGUUGCGUCAGAGACAAAUGCCAAAGGAGAAGAUACCCCCUCUAACGGUUGAAAUACUGAACCACCACGGCGCUUCGUGCCGAGCCGCAAGAGGGCCAAAGACGUGAGAGCUGCCAGACAGGCGCGCACACCGAAACUCCUGAAGCCAAACGCCUCGAAAGACCUCCGAACGACACCCCAGCAGCAGGGGCGGCGGACGCGCCACCUCUACGCAGGCAAAAGAGGGAACAAAAUAAACGCAAAGCGCCAACAGACUGACCCACCGCCACCGACGCGACGGAUCACUCAACAGUUGCUGACGGACGCCCACUGAAGGAAGGGUCGAUAGGAAGCCAAAACAUGUCCCCGCUCAGGGGUGACCAAGCGGCCAAAACUAGGGGCUUGAACUGAAACACUGGGUCUGCAACAAUGACCGCUCCACGAACCCAGGUCGCCGACAGCAGAGAAAACGGACAAAGAAAAGACACAGACCUAAUACGACAAACAACAAACACAAGGCCGCGAAAUGGAGACACACGAACCCAUUCAGCGCCAAAAGAAGUACUCGAACUUAGUCCAGAACCAGCGGUGUUGGAACCGGCGGUACCAUCGGAUAUCAAACAAAGCGAAACCGCUCCGAAAUCAGGGGAAUUCCAAUCGCUGGUGACACAACACGAUGAAAAAACCAACUACCUGCACGGUGCCUUCCGAGCGCACACCUUCGCACAACAAAUUCCUUCCUAUUUGCUCGUCGUAACUGCGUGUCCGCUCCCCUGCACAAUAUGCAACUAAGGCGCUACCUUAUUGGGGGUCCCAUUGCCCCUACAAGAUAUUAUGAGCCCCCAGGGGGGGGGCAUGAAAUGCUAGGAAAGCGCACCUCGGGGGCACACGACCCCGCAAUUGCAGCGCCACACUGACCGACCGAGUGCUAAGCAAAGCACCCACAAGACGACUGCACCCGCACUGCCAGACCUGCCAGGAAGGGGGGGAGAUAGGUGCUCGACCCUCCCUCAUCCGGCACAAACAGCUCCGUAUUCGAAGGCAGGAACACAAGGUCAACCGCCAACUCCAUAAACUGUUGCCACCAAGGUUGGGCCGUCCAGUACGGCACGACUAGGAAAGACACCCUAGCACUGCUUGAGUGCACGUGUUUUCCACACUGAUUAAGACAACACGCUGCUGAAAGAACGGAAGAAAGGACUCUAAUGCAGGAUGGACAGCAUGCAACUCCUUCCAACUGACGUGUCAUAGAGCUCUGGUGCCGACCAAUAACCGCGCGCCACACCAUCAUGCAGGACCGCGCCCCACGAAUGGCGCGAUGCAUCCACUGAAAGCUCAACUUCAGCAGGACCCUGGUGAAUAGCCGCCGAGCACUGGUGGGUAGGGAUGUCCGCCCACCACCCAAAGUCACGUAACGACCCACGGGGCAAGCACACUCGACCAGGAUAACCAACCGGUUGCUUCACAUCAUCGUAACAAUUGCGGAGAAAUAAGAGAGCUGGAGUAAGGGCCAAUUUGAUGCUCUGUGCAAAACUACAAAACUUAGCCAGCUCGCACUUCUGCACCAGACGCUGAUUUUUCUUUGCCGUGAUCCGCAACCCGAUCGCCAGCCACCACAAUUUUGCGAGCUUUUGCUUAGGCACCUCAAACACACCAGCUGCUGUAUUGACAGUAAUGCCUAAGUGAUACACUGACUGCGACGGCUCCCACUGGCACUUGGUGGGAUGACAUGACAAACCCAAAAACUCGAUCAUCUCACGCACCCAGCGUGCACAAAAACGUGCUUGCUCCUGGGAAGUAAACAUGAUUAGGAAAUCAUCCAAAUACGGUAGUACUCGCGCACCCGGACGUGAAGGACGCUCUGUCUGGGAAACGGGAAAAAACUUGUGGGCCGAGAGCAAGGGGCGAGGGACACUUGUGACCCUUGCCCGCCGCAGCCAAAGAAUCCCGCCAAAUACGCAGCACAUUGUGCAUGUACUGCUGAAGAGACGGUGUCUCUCUGGGACCUAGCAGACACGGCCAAGAGUAAUUGGCCGUUACACGUAGUCGGGAGGUCCGCGACCUGCCACCGAUAGCCCCUUGCUUGGGCGUAAACAUAUUGAGUCUGAGGUGCUGUUACCGACACACAGCAGGGGCUUUAAGGUAGCCUGUCCUGACGGGCGGCCUGUCAGUAUUCUAGCACCUUGACAGCCGCCAGUCAUAACAGCCUGACGUGGGGCCUUUCGCAGGCCACGGGGCGACAUGGCACACCCCCUUCACACCAACAUGCCCCCUCGAGUCGCACCAGGGGCCUGACUGCAAACUGCUAGUACUGACGAGCUCGCUCGGCCGCCAAGUCCGCGGUCCAGGCCGGCUGCUCAACGCUCAGCAGACACAAUCGCAGCUUGCCAGCCUUCAGCCUGCUGGCUUUGCGGUCUGGUGCCGCAGUCCAAACACACACAGAAAACAGCACGGCACAGCACCUUAUGCCCUGCCUACGGCGCCCUUCGGGCACUAACCUGCCCAUUCGGGCGCCUGCCCACGCGCCCUUGGUGCCCCCCUACCUCGACACACUUCUUUUGAGCCCUCAGCAUUUUUCCACUCCCCCCUCGCAUGGUGCUCUGUCGAUCUAAGUGACGCCCAGCACCGUGCGGCAGUGCACGAACUUGAUUUCACCCAGUGCCUUGGUGAGAAUGUCAGCCACCGUGUUGUUGGUGGUACAAUAGCUGAGCUUAACCUCACCGCGCACGGCCGUUUCACGCAUGAUGUGGUGGUGCAGAUCGAUAUGCUUGGAGCGCACCAACGUGAUGGGGUUGUUGCCGAGGCUGAGCGCGCCUUGUGAAUCCAGCUGGAUGUUGAUGGCGCCGGGUCGCCCGCCAGCUUGCGCAGCCACAUAGUGCCUCGUGCACGGCUGCUGCGGCGGCCUGGUACUCGGCCUCGAGGCAGCCAAGGUGCGCUGCAACUGGCUGCUCCAGCUGACCGCUGCACUGCCGAGCAAGAAUGUGUAGCCCGUGGUGGACCGGCGGGUGGCUGGGUCGCCGGCCCAGUCCGCAUCACUGUACCCGCCGAAGUUGCUGGUGUCGCUGCUGCUGUCGCCACGGUAUCGCAGCCCGAGUGUGCAGGUGCCGGAUAGGUAGCGCAUCAUGCCCAGCACGAGGCCCAUGUGGGCCUUGGUGGGGACGGGCAUGUGUCACACGAGCAUGCUCAGAGUGUGUGUAAUGUCCGGGCGUGUGCUGCUGGUAGGUAUUUCAGCUCGCCCACCAGCACACGGUAGUCGCUGCCAUCAAUCACUGUCGGCUGGGCGUCGCUGGCUGGCAGAGCACACAUGCCCUGAGGCAGCAGGGUGGCGCGCGGCUUGGCAUUCUCCAGGCUGUGGCGCUGCAGCAGCUGCUCCACAUAGCGCUGCUGCGUGAGCACGAUGCAGCGGUUGCGGCCAUCCUGGACGAUCUUCAUGCCAAGGUAGUAGUGCGCCUCGCCAAGGUCACGCACUGUGAAGCAACCGGCGAUGGCUGCCUUGGUGGCCGCGACCACUUGCAGGUUGUCCGCCGUCACCAGCAUGUCGUUGGCAGUGUGCUCUGCACUGUUGCCUCCGCCGCCGCCACUGCCAUCGGGCACGUUAGACUUCGCGCUGUCAGCGCUACCACCUGAGCAGCGGUGGACUUCCCGACUCUCUGCCGCCGCCGCUGCUGCUGCUGUCAAGGGGGGGGGGGUCACUGACCGGGGCCAGCGGGAGUGUGCAGGGACUGCCGUUGACUGCGGGUGUUGGGGUGGAGGGUUGGUGUUGGGGUCACCGGAGGUGGGGCGGCCGCUGGGGUCGGCAGCUUGGUGGGCGGUGUAGAGCUGCCGAUGGGGUUGCUGCCGCCGGGGCAGGCGGGGCUAGUGCCGAAGGGGGUGCCCGCCCGUUGUGAACCGGGCUGUGGCGGUCGUCAUUGAAGGUGACAUCGCUGCUCACGGUCACCUUGCCCUCAAUGAGGAUGCUGUGGGCGGCCGUGCCGUGCUCCGGUCGGCGGUAGGUUUCCGCCUUUGCACGAGGACCGAGUUUGUCCUGCUGGCUGGGUGGGAUGCGGACGUAGGCCAGGCAGCUGAAGGUGUGCAGGUGGCUGACGUCGGGGGGGAAGCCGUGAUUAGCUGCCCACGGCGUGGCCUCCCGGCCCUGAGAGGGGGAAACAUUGCGCAGGAGGUUGGUGUAGAGCACAGCCCCCGGCUUGUAGCUGCCCGGGAGUGCUGCGUCGUGCAGCAUCGUCCGCACACGGCCGAGGAGCAUGUGGUUGAGUCACUCCACCACUCCAUUCUGCUCCGGGGUGUAUGAUGCCGAGUGGGUGUGCACGGUGCCGUGCUGGCGCAGCCACUGCCGCAGUUGCUCGGUGAUGUACUCACCGCGUUUGUCGCUGUGCAGCAUGUGCACCCGUGCAUGGUUCAGGUGGUGGGCCUCCAGCUGCGUCACCAUGUCCUGCAGCACUUCACCCACUUGGCCUUUGCUUGCCAGCGUGCGGACGGCGGACAGACUGGUGGCACCGUCCAGCAGCAUCAGCAAGUAGCGUGCGCCCCCUCGGCCCAUGGUCGGCAUGGGCCCGCACAGGUCAGAGUGUACGACCUCCAGUGCGUGCUGCGGCCGGUUGCUGCGGCUGGGAUGGGCGGUUACGGUGGCCUUCAUGGUGACACAGGCCUCGCAGACGGUCUCCGCCGCCUGGUGUAGUGCUGCUGGAGUGACCUGUGGUCCCUGCACCAGCUACUUGCUGAUCAGCUGCUCCAGCACGCGGAAACCGAGGUGACCGUACUGGCGGUGCAGGCGCUGUGCUGCCGCAAGUUUGGCGACUGAGCAUUCGGCGGCCCCGGGGCUGCCGUUGCCUGGUUGCCCUUUGCCGUUGCUGUCACCGUCCGGCUGGCCUCCACCAGUGUGGCUGCCGGCGGUGCUGCCGCCACGGGCGCUGGGGACAGCGGCGGCACUUCCACCAGCACUGCUAACUGCGGCAUGGCCCCCACCGGCUCUGUCGCCCACGGUGCCGAGGGCAUUGACGGUGACGUCGGUCGGCGCCUGCAGGUCCACGUCCAUGUGUAGUGCCCACACUCAUUCCAUGCAGUGAUAGCCGGGCUGUUGUGAGGGAGGCCGAUGCAUGAGAACCAGCAGCCCGUCUUGUCCGUGCUGAAUGUGCCUAUGCAGCUGCGUGUCACGAGAAAGUUGACAGAUGUUAGGAUGAGGCCCGAGCUGGGGACGUGCAGCAUGUUGUGCAGCCGGACAUUGUGUCCAUCACGUGUACGCAGGUGCAGCUGCGCUGUUCCCAUGACAUCGGCCAGCUGGUUGUUGCCCCACUCGAUCAGCCGUGGCGCGCCGGCGGGGACGUGGUUGUGCAGCAGGGAGUGGUCACCCGUGAGGUGGUACGGUGAGCCUGAGUCGAGGAUGACUCGUGAGCUGCUGCCACUGCCGUCGAUGACCAGCACUGUGGCACGGCUCUGGCGUGAGCUGCUUCCGCUGCUGCCCGAACCGCUGCCACUGCUGCCGCCUGCAGUGUUGCCGCCGUUGCGGUGGCUGUUGCCGCAUCAAGCACGGCCGCGUUCACGUGUUCCGUCGGCCCCGCUGUUACCGUCAUUGCCGCUGCCAGUGUCCCUGCCGCCGCCGUCACAGUGGCGGUUGCGGCUGCCUCAACUGAUGUUGCCGGCGGCGUGCAGCUGCUCGAAUGCGUUGCUGUGGUGAAGGCCGACGGACUCGUCCGCCUGCUUAACGGGGCACUCGCAAAUGUAGUAACCAGGCUGUCCGCAGUAGCGGCAGGUGUCGCCGGCCCCCACGGCGCCUGCAGCACUGGCGGUGCUGCCGACUCCACUGGUGGCACGGCCAGGGCCGACAGCUCCCACCAGGCUGGUCUUGCUUGCUUGGGUCUUGAGGUUGUUGUCCUUCUCCUGCAGCAUGAGCACGAGCUGUGGGGUCGUUAAGUUGGGCUGAUACAUCGUGAACUCGAUGGUGAUGGCGUACUGCAGAGGCAGGCCAUGGAGAAUGGCGUGGCGCACCGUGCUCUCGUCCCACUGGCCGCCGGCCACAAUUAUAUCGCUACAGAGCUGCUCUGCCCGCUAAAUGAAGUCAGCGGUUGUCUCCCCAUCACGCAUGUUCAGCUGCAUCUGCGGCUCAACCAGGCUCAGCCGGGCCUGGGAUGCAGAACGGAACUGUUGCUGUAAGAGCUGCAUGGCGGCGAGACCGGUUGGGCAAUUCAUGAGCAACUGCUUGAUGGGCAGUUCACAGGACAGACGCAGGUAGCUGAGCGCCUGUGCGUCCUCCUCCAGGGCGUCUUGGGAGUUGCGGCUCGGAGGCGACGGGUUGUUGAUGUAGCUCUUCAACUUGGAUGUUGCGAGGAAAUCGCCUAACUCGCCGAGCCUGUGGGAGUAGUUCGACCCAUCCCAGAGGAUGACGGUCUUACAUCCCUUCCCCAUGAUGGUUGGCUAGCGAGCGUGACUGAUGAUGACGCGUUCCCCGCCGCUUUUCUGGCAACUAGUUGAUGUUAUGAUGCAUCGUUGGUCCGGCGUACGACGGCUCCUGGUGCGAUUUAUGCGUCCGGAAGCCCUUUCAGCCUCCCAGGCAUGUCCCAACUGCCUCACAGCCACCGACGCAUCUCACGGCGGGGUUCUAAUUGCGUGCGCGUAUGGAUGCUCCUUACCCCGCCGCCUUUCUAGCAACUAGUUGAUGUUAUGAUGCAUCGUUGGGCCGGCGUACGACGGCGCCUGGUGCGAUUUAUACGUCCGGAAGCCCUUUCAGCCUCCCAGGCAUGUCCCAACUGCCUCACAGCCACCGACGCAUCUCACGGCGGGGUUCUAAUUGCGUGCGCGUAUGGAUGCUCCUUUUCCCGCCGCCUUUCUAACAACUAGUUGAUGCUAUGAUGCAUCGUUGGGCCGGCGUACGACGGCGCCUGGUGCGAUUUAUGCGUCCGGAAGCCCUUUCAGCCUCCCAGGCAUGUCCCACCUGCCUCACAGCCACCGACGCAUCUCACGGCGGGGUUCUAAUUGCGUGCGCGUAUGAAUGCUCCUUUUCUUGCCGCUUUCCUAACAACUAGUUAAUGCUGUGAUGCAUCGUUGGUCCGGCGUACGACGGCGCCUGGUGCGAUUUAUGCGUCCGGAAGCCCUUUCAGCCUCCCAGGCAUGUCCCACCUGCCUCACAGCCACCGACGCAUCUCACGGCGGGGUUCUAAUUGCGUGCGCGUAUGAAUGCUCCUUUUCCUGCCGCCUUUCUAACAACUAGUUAAUGUUGUGAUGCAUCGUUGGUCCGGCGUACGACGGCGCCUGGUGCGAUUUAUGCGUCCGGAAGCCCUUUCAGCCUCCAGGCAUGUCCCCACCUGCCUCACAGCCGCCGACGCAUCUCACGGCGGGGUUCUCAUUGCGUGCGCGUUCGCAUGCUGCAUGUCCCGCCACCUUUCUGGCAUCUAGUUGAUGGUAUGAUGAAUCGUUGUGCGAUGUAGGGCUGCGCCUGAUGCGAUUUCGUUUGCGGAAGCCCCCCCUGAGUGCUGCCAAGCAUGUUAUUCUCUCAUGAGACUGCGUGAAGGUUUACGAACUGAGUAUGCGACCAACACAUAAAACAUCGCAUGUGAAUUGUUAUGUCUUGCGAUUCAUCAAAGGUAAAUCGUGUGUGCUUGUUGUGUGUUAGCUUCGGCCGCAUUAAGCUUGACGCAACGAGCCUUCAUACGCUUGAAACGCAACGUUUGUUUGCAUGCGAAUUGCGUUGCGAUAUGUGUGCGUUUGGCGAGUGUUAGGCCGCGUUAAGCUUUACGCAAUGAGCCUUUAUACGCAUGAAACGCAGCAUGUAUUAGCAUGCGAAAUGCGUUGCGAAAUGUGUGCGUAAGGUGAGUGUUAGGCCGCGUUAAGCUUUACGCAAUCAGCCCUCAUACUCAUGAUACGCAACAUGCAUUCGCAUGCAAAUAGCCUUGCGGACUGUGUGCGUUUCAUGUGCGAGUGGACGCGAAUUGCUUUACGCAUUGUCUCCCCACACGCACGAAUCGCAAUAUGGAAUCGCAUGCGUAUCGCCUUGCUACACAUGCGCGUAUGCUUCGCGUUUGAACAUACGCACGGAUGAAUUGUUCAAGUCGACCAAAACGACGCAAGUUUAUUUCCAAAUAAACCUUUACAAUCUGAAAAUUAUAAAUUUUUAAAAAACUUGGCCAGAAGGGCCGAUUUCCGCUUUUCCAUAGCCGUUGUGCGUUAGCUCUUUGCGUUACAAAAGCAUGCUCAUUCGCACCUAGGUUAGGCCUAACGCUAAGAUUCGCACCGUUACGCGAACUAACGCGAGCUANNNNNNNNNNNNNNNNNNNNNNNNNNNNNNNNNNNNNNNNNNNNNNNNNNAGCAACUAGUUGAUGUUAUGAUGCAUCGUUGGGCCGGCGUACGACGGCGCCUGGUGCGAUUUAUACGUCCGGAAGCCCUNUCAGCCUCCCAGGCAUGUCCCAACUGCCUCACAGCCACCGACGCAUCUCACGGCGGGGUUCUAAUUGCGUGCGCGUAUGGAUGCUCCUUUUCUUGCCGCUUUCCUAACAACUAGUUAAUGCUAUGAUGCAUCGUUGGUCCGGCGUACGACGGCGCCUGGUGCGAUUUAUGCGUCCGGAAGCCCUUUCAGCCUCCCAGGCAUGUCCCCACCUGCCUCACAGCCACCGACGCAUCUCACGGCGGGGUUCUAAUUGCGUGCGCGUAUGGAUGCUCCUUUUCUUGCCGCUUUCCUAACAACUAGUUAAUGCUAUGAUGCAUCGUUGGUCCGGCGUACGACGGCGCCUGGUGCGAUUUAUGCGUCCGGAAGCCCUUUCAGCCUCCAGGCAUGUCCCCACCUGCCUCACAGCCGCCGACGCAUCUCACGGCGGGGUUCUAAUUGCGUGCGCGUAUGAAUGCUCCUAUGUCCCGCCACCUUUCUAACAACUAGUUGAUGUUGUGAUGCAUCGUUGGUCCGGCGUACGACGGCGCCUGGUGCGAUUUAUGCGUCCGGAAGCCCUUUCAGCCUCCAGGCAUGUCCCCACCUGCCUCACAGCCGCCGACGCAUCUCACGGCGGGGUUCUAAUUGCGUGCGCGUAUGAAUGCUCCUAUGUCCCGCCACCUUUCUGGCAUCUAGUUGAUGGUAUGAUGCAUCGUUGUGCGAUGUAGGGCUGCGCCUGGUGCGAUUUCGUUUGCGGAAGCCCCCCCUGAGUGCUGCCAAGCAUGUUAUUCUCUCAUGAGACUGCGUGAAGGUUUACGAACUGAGUAUGCGACCAACACAUAAAACAUCGCAUGUGAAUUGUUAUGUCUUGCGAUUCAUCAAAGGUAAAUCGUGUGUGCUUGUUGUGUGUUAGCUUCGGCCGCAUUAAGCUUGACGCAACGAGCCUUCAUACGCUUGAAACGCAACGUUUGUUUGCAUGCGAAUUGCGUUGCGAUAUGUGUGCGUUUGGCGAGUGUUAGGCCGCGUUAAGCUUUACGCAAUGAGCCUUUAUACGCAUGAAACGCAGCAUGUAUUAGCAUGCGAAAUGCGUUGCGAAAUGUGUGCGUAAGGUGAGUGUUAGGCCGCGUUAAGCUUUACGCAAUCAGCCCUCAUACUCAUGAUACGCAACAUGCAUUCGCAUGCAAAUAGCCUUGCGGACUGUGUGCGUUUCAUGUGCGAGUGGACGCGAAUUGCUUUACGCAUUGUCUCCCCACACGCACGAAUCGCAAUAUGGAAUCGCAUGCGUAUCGCCUUGCUACACAUGCGCGUAUGCUUCGCGUUUGAACAUACGCACGGAUGAAUUGUUCAAGUCGACCAAAACGACGCAAGUUUAUUUCCAAAUAAACCUUUACAAUCUGAAAAUUAUAAAUUUUUAAAAAACUUGGCCAGAAGGGCCGAUUUCCGCUUUUCCAUAGCCGUUGUGCGUUAGCUCUUUGCGUUACAAAAGCAUGCUCAUUCGCACCUAGGUUAGGCCUAACGCUAAGAUUCGCACCGUUACGCGAACUAACGCGAGCUAACGCGGACUUAACGCGAUCACCCGUCGUCAUAGUGCUCUCGGCACCCACCCACAUCAUAUAACAAUAAAUCAAGACUUGAAGGUCGUACAUAUGGCUACGGCUCUCAAUCUACCUUUUACGGACGUGGGAGAAACCACAGUCAGGGACUGGGAUAUGCAACUAGACAAAGUCUGGGCUCGGUUUCGACGCAUUUCUGUGUUAAAUCUUUCCAUUUUUGGGCGUGCACAUGCAGCGGCUGCAUAUGGGCUGCAUCGUUUUACGUGGCAUAUGGAACACGGGGGGUUUCCCCCAGAAGCUAAACUCAUGAAUAUUGAGGCUAAAGCGGCCAAGCUUAUUGAUAGGAACCUCGGACCGGUCGCACAAGAAAGACGACUCACCGGGGUUCCUAAAUAUUUGUUAUAUGGCCAUCCAACUUUGGGCGGUUUUGGGGCAUUAGCAGUACGACAACAUGUGCAAGCGCGAUGGGCAUGCUGGGCAGUGCGUUUUGUGGGAGCAUUACUCCAACCAGUCUUAGUGCGUCCGCCUUGGGUGAUGGUCAUGCAAUCUUUCCUACAUAGCCUUUACCCCAAAUAUAAUCCUAUGUGUAUUUUUACGUCCCAGGUGGGAGUGCCUUGGUUUGGAUUAAUCGUUUUACCGCCAGAUGUUCAGCGCAUUGUGACAGCGUUGGCAUACCUUCCCCCAGUGGAAGAUGUUGAUGAUCACCCGUUAGUUCCUAAUGCGUGGUGUUGGAAUUUGCCAUUGUGGGGAAACCCUGUUCUUCCAGAAAAAAGGGUGAAUGUCCAGUUAGAUAACAUCCGCCCGGGACUAGAAUUUCGACAUCAAGCCCUCCUGGGCUGUAAAGCAUUGCAUACGUUNNNNNNNNNNNNNNNNNNNNNNNNNNNNNNNNNNNNNNNNNNNNNNNNNNUAAAAUACACAUAGGAUUAUAUUUGGGGUAAAGGCUAUGUAGGAAAGAGUGCAUGACCAUCACCCAAGGCGGACGCACUAAGACUGGUUGGAGUAAUGCUCUCACAAAACGCACUGCCCAGCAUGCCCAUCGCGCUUGUACAUGUUGUCGUACUGCUAAUGCCCCAAAACCGCCCAAAGUUGGAUGGCCAUAUAACAAAUAUUUAGGAACCCCGGUGAGUCGUCUUUCUUGUGCGACCGGUCCGAGGUUCCUAUCAAUAAGUUUGGCCGCUUUAGCCUCAAUAUUCAUGAGUUGAGCUUCUGGGGGAAACCCCCCGUGUUCCAUAUGCCACGUAAAACGAUGCAGCCCAUAUGCAGCCGCUGCAUGUGCACGCCCAAAAAUGGAAAGAUUUAACACCGAAAUGCGUCGAAACCGAGCCCAGACUUUGUCUAGUUGCACAUCCCAGUCCCUGCCUGUGGUUUCUCCCACAUCCGUAAAAGGUAGAUUGAGAGCCGUAGCCAUAUGUACGACCUUCAUGUCAUGAUUUAUUGUUAUAUGAUGUGGGUGGGUGCCGAGAGGUAACAGCUCAACCUUAUCCAGGUUAAGUUGCUGUCCAGAAGCCUGUGCGUAUACCCUCAUACAUUCAAGGAAAGCCGGAAUUGCUUGGAUGCCUUCUAAAACAACUUCCGUGUCAUCAGCAAAUUGCACACCUGUAACCAUUUCUGAAUUAUUUUGNGGUAAAUGAAUCCCCACUCGGUUGUACUGUAACCAACACAGUAACGCCUGCGCGACNNNNNNNNNNNNNNNNNNNNNNNNNNNNNNNNNNNNNNNNNNNNNNNNNNNNNNNNNNNNNNAAACGAUGGUCUGUCGAAGUGCACACUGGAAUGGUAGAGGAAGCGAUGAAGGGGGUGAGGUUUGUGGAAGUAUAGAUUCGAUCAAGACGUGACCCUCCCGACACACUUGUUUUAUAGAAAAACGAAAGGUCGCGACGGGUAGGGUGGAGGUAGCGAUAUGUGUCUACCAUAUCCGGGCAGCAUUCGGAGAAAGCCUUGGCUAAGGAUAAGUCCGCGGGUCUACUCCCUUCUCCUGUGGUGGAAUCUAGCAUCGGAUUAUGGACAAAAUUAAAAUCUCCAGCCCAAAGCAAAUGAUCAUCCUGUCCUAUCCUAUUUACCACAUCGCCAAGAGAAUGCACACACGCCUUCCUCUGAUCUAUCGAGUAACUAGAUGUCAUGAGGUACAAAUUAAUCAAAUGAAUACGGUGACCACACCACGUGAACGAAACCGACGCGCUACGGCCUUGGGGAAUGUUAGCCGGAAGUAGUCGUGCCGGUGUUUGUAUUAUUUUAAAGUCGCGAUAAAGAUCUUUGCGCACUAGCACUAACACUCCAGCCGUCCGGGCAUUGGUCGUGGGGGAUUGUGCUAUUAUAUCCCAUCCCGGUAUCCCUAUUUUCUGAGCCGCGAAUUGCAAUUCUCUAGUGAGAAUUGUCAGGUCUCCAUCUCCCAUAUGAUGUGUCUCCUGUAAACAAAUGACAUCUAACCUAUGUUGGGCCCAUACUCUAGCCGCAGCAUGGAUACGAGUAAAUGCCGAAUGCGUGAAUAAACGACACACGCUACGCGUAAGGUAGGGCUUGCCCAAAACAGGAAUUACCAAAGUCUGUAAUGGGUGUGGUGUAAUUAGUGUGGUGCAUUGAUGGAAGAAAGGCAAUUAGAUGUAUUUCAAUGCCGUACAUGUUUAUAAUGCGACUUGAAGGAGUGGACGUACUUAUGCUGAAAGGAAUGGCUGAGAGGAAUGUAGGGUGCUUGAUCAGAAGUCGUGGACGAUACUGGUGUUAAUAAUUUUCCGCGGCCGAGGUGUGUGUGUUUGUUACAGCCGAGGUUACGGCCGAGAUGAUUGCUCACUUGCAUGCCAAGAGAAAUGCAUGAAAUGACGGGCACAUCAAGGAUGUAACUGGUGUGUCGCGCUGAAACAAGGGCACGCCAAUCUAACAAGAAAUGCCUGUUAUUCCAAGUCGUCGGCUGCUGGUUCCCCUAGCGGACACGCUAGACUUGCUGCAUUUUCUGAGUCAGAAGCGUGUGCACUUCUGCCAGGCUGGGCAACAUGCAGUCGUAUUCGACACGUUGUUGUGAUGAGUAUAACGUAAAGGAAUAGCAAUUGGUUCAUGGGCUGUUACACCAUUUGCGGCACAUAUUCAUACAGGUUGAGUACCGACUGUGACUCUGCCUCUGCAGUAAAAUUUAGCGCAGCGGCGGGUUGGUGGCUUGAGCCGUUCCACGCCAGCUGUGAGGAAUAGUCAGCCUGUGUUAACACAACACUGAUGCGAAAAUAUUCCGAAUCGUAUUAAGUAAGAGCCGCACCAGAGGCGCCACCAAGAAUGAGCGCGGUAACACUACAACUACCGGUACAGGGUAUCUCUUCUUACUUGGCCUCUGCCUAGUAUAGUCGCGAGGUCUCAUUUCUGUAACAUCCAAGUUAUGUUUUAACAAGAAACGCCAUCGGGGAUUGACAGAAGAUACGUGGUUAACUUACACAAUUCACUUUAAAGGAGGUACGGGAAGUUCGUGUACGUCAUGUGCCGUUGGGGCAGGCAUGGACCUGACAACUCCGGGAGAGAGUUGCCACACUACAAUGGACAAGACGCGGAUGCACUUAGAACUCACACAAAAAGCGAGCAUUGUCUCUUUGCAACUUAUUAUCAACGUACACAUCUAUGAAUGUUGGCCAUCACUAUUUAUCCAGACAGACCACACACAGCCCAGGCAAUAAGUUCGGAAUGCAUGACAGUAUCCAUAAUUGUGAUGUGGUCUCCUGAACGCUCCUUGACGCAAAUGCAUUGAUUGCCGCGCGGGUGUGAUGAUAAAACAGGGCGGCGCAUCCUGUUGGUCCCCUCAAAAGUGCAUCCACGGUAGUCAGGCGCCAGAGAGUUGUUUGCUGGGGCCAUCCUUGCCGCCUGUUGUUGCGAUGUGCCGGCGGCGUCCAGUAAUUUGUGUCGUUGCGGUGGUUGCGAUGGCGGUGACGACAGACGUUGCUGCUGCCACAGGCGUGUGCGUGGCCAAUUUGCUUGUCGUCGGGCCGGAUUCUUGGUUUGUUCCGAGCAUGGAAUCGGCCAAUGAAGCCGUUGUCACUCCGUACCGAAGGAUGUCGCCAUUGUUGACAACGAAGGCUCCUUGGACUGGCUGCCUCAUGCGUCCCAAGACUCGUUCUAGGCCGCUAAAGUCAUGCAGGGCGCGGUACAAGUCCGGGUUGCCGUUGUUCCCGUGCCGUAAUUUGCCCCAGAGCUGAUGCAACUUGCUGUUGUUGCCCAAGACAAGGCAAGCCGUCAGAGGCUGCAAGACGGGAAUUUGUGCAUCUGGAUGUUUGUUGCAGAGGUUGCAGGUGUUGUUCAGGAUUGUGCCCCCGCAGGUGUUGUUGGUGCACCUGAAGGAGUUGUGGUAAUAGGCGAAAAGGGUGCAGUUGUGAAAGUGAUGAAUAGUAAGUAUUAUUGAGUGAGCGGCUGGGUGCUGGACUUUGCUACGAAGAAGCAGGAUAUGCAGAUUUGAGAUUUACUUGGCGUGGCAGUAUUUAUUCAAGGGAAAGACGAGCCUAUGACCACAUGUGUCAAGUAUACGUACCUGUAGAACAGGAUGUCGUCCAGGCCUUGAAUGCGAUCGAUGAGGUCUUGGAUGAUGAUGACAGAGCCUGUAUAGGUGCUGUCGGCAAGGUUGUUGCGAGUUGUUGCCGGCACGUUGUUGUCCUCCAGCAUGCAAGCUUCUAGGAGCUCGUCAUCCUUGUCAACGUCCCCGUUCAGGAGGAUGUGCAUUUUACUUGUCGACUGCACCCGGGAUGCAUUGUUGAACUCUGUGGGAAGAGUUUGACGUGGGAAACAGGCGGAAAUUCUGAAUGCUGGAAUCUUUGCUGGAAACCUGUCCGAUUAAAUGUCAGGUAAAAGCGUGUUGGAAAUUACUGCGCUGUGUUAAACGAUAGCAUUGUGUCGCCUUGCUGUACGCAGGUUGUGUUUCCAUUUUUCGUACAUACCUGCCUUGCGUGCACCAAAGCACAGGAUUGGUUGUUUGUGGUCCGCCGCCCACUCCAGCAUUUGUGGCAAGCACGAGAAAGCUCCGUCAGCGUGCCAAACCACCAUCUGUGGGGACGGAUAUAAUGUGAAUUACAAUAAAUUCGUGUAAAGAUGUUUGAGGUUUCCCUGUGUAUUCGAAGAGAACCGGCAUAUUUACCACCGCAAGAUUAGUCUAUGUUGUAAGGAUACUGGUGAUUGAGGGAGGAAAUGGUCUAACAGACAAAUAAAGCAAGCAUGUCGGACUUACUGGCAGGUGUCGGGCGGCACCAUCCUCGCCUAGCAUCGAGAUGGUGAAGGCCACAUAUCUUGCUGCGUCUUGCGUCUUGCGGCUGAUGAGGAUGUGCAUUGGUUUCGUAAACAUAGCCUGAUCGGUCAUGACCGGCGUGCGGUGGUAUGUUGCAAUUGUGAUAAUACAGGAAUGUCAGUUGAUGUAUGCGCAAAUGCGUUUGGGCUAUUAUUUGCCUGACCAGGAUUUGUGGUGUUCGCAGGCACAGUCACAGUCACAGGCACAGUCGCAGGCACAGGCACAGAACAGGCUCGUAAUGAUCAUUAUGCCGCGCAACCUCAACAGUUUCUACACCGUAGAUAUGGGUUUCGACUGGCUGGGGCGACUGUGAGUCCCAAAUGACUAGUUGAAUUCCUAGUGCACGUGAUACCCAAGGAAAGAUAAGGGCAUCUGCCCAAGGUCCUCCAAACGCAGCAGAUUUGGCCAUGUGGUGCGUGUAGUGAACAAGGCGUUCGACUCCUGGGCUCGCGCAUCGAUCUAGAUCAAGACCAUGCAUACUGAUGGCAACUUGAGAAACCUCUGUAUGUACGUGGGACAUUUGGACAUAUAUUUCCCCCUCCGUUAAACUUCUUCCCAUCACCUUUAUUGCCUGCUCCUGUAAUGCUUUUAAUACUUGUAUAUAACUGCCAAUGGCACGCUGCAUGUGCGCAGAUGCCUGUUUUCGAAUCUCAGCACCCGUAAUCUGCCGCCUGUGAACAUGUUCUAACACAUACGCCACAGCGUCAAAAAAACAAUCCCCAACCACAAACGGGCACGCGUACCUUUUUUUGCAGACUGAUGCCAACACCGCAUCCAGCUUGUCCGAAUCAGCCGCUGCUUGGUUAAUGUUACAGCCAGCAGUAUUUUGCAGCUGCUGCACUUGAGGAAACACAAACUUCUUCCCAUCACCUUUAUUGCCUGCUCCUGUAAUGCUGUUAAUUCUUGAGUAUAACUGCCGAUGGCACGCUGCAUGUGCGCAGAUGCUUGUUUUCGAAUCUCAGCACCCGUAAUCCGGCGGCCGUAGACAUGUUCUAACACAUACGCCACAGAGUCGAAAAAACAAUCCCCAACCACAAACGGGCACGCAUACCCUUUUUUGCCGACUGAUGCCAACACCGCAUCCAGCUUGUCCGUAGAAAGGCUUAAUAACCGCCCUUUCAUUAUCAAACCCAAGCAAAGUCAGGGAACUGCAAACUGAUCUUCAAGGAUCUGCAAAUGGUCCAAAGCCGUGUUCAGUUGCUUGUGGUGCUGAAACAAUUUCCAAACUGCAAAAGCCUUCUUCGUCUUAAUCCUGGUUUUGUACCUUGGCGGCGCAAAGGCCAAUUUCCUCUCCUGGUUUGCCUGGGUUGUGUUCGGAUAUUCCUGGGGUGGGUUCGUUAAAGCCUGGGCCCUGUUGUCUUUAAAGACAAACACGGCAAUGAGAGUAUCAAAAGGAGACACUUCGGUGAUUCAUUAACAUUCCUUAAUUUUCAUAUUCUCGUCCGUACACGCCUCUUUCUGCAGUUCUCAACAAGAACGUCCUAUAAUUUAAAACAGCAUUUCCUUUCCUAAUUCAUCCUAUUUGCUUCCUAAUCCGCUUUUAACAAUCCUUACUAUUCAUAUUCUCGACCGUACGCGCCUCUUCCUGUAGUUCUCGAGUCGAGAAUUUCGACAAGAACGUUCUAUAAUUUAUAUCUACAGUUCCUUUCCGAUUCCUUUCCUAAUUACUCCUCUUUGCGUGCCGCUUGAGAAGAACUUUUGUAACCGCAUAUAGCUAAGCCUCAAUUUCACACUGAUUAAUCUCCUUCUCCCCAUUCCUCGCUUAUCCCCAUUCUCCACCUUAUACCCUCCUCCCCCUACUUGUUCCUCUUCCUCCGUCCUCUCCCCCCUCUCGUUCCUCUUCCUCCUUUCCCACUCUCCAUCAUCUGCCUCCUCUCCCUCCUCUCCCUCGUCUUUUCAACUCACUCCCCCACUCCUCUCCCUCCUCUUCCUCCUCUUCCCUAUCCCUCCUCUCAUUCCUCUUCCUCCUCUACCAAUACCUCCUCUCCCUCGUCUUACUGUGAUACAUUGCUCCUUAAUCUUGAAAAUGCGCAGCCCAGAUUAAUUACUCAACUCCGUACACAAAUCUUCCUGCAAUUCUCGAAUACAAAGUUCAUUAUUUCUACUUACUUAGGGUAUUUAUUGAAUACUAAUGGUUCACUUUCCCCGUAUUUAGGGUGACACAUCACAUAUGUCUGGUCGAUUUGCGUCAUAGGAACUUUUGUAAACGCCUUAUGCUCGGCCACCUUUUCAAGCUGCACAUCUUCCGGACAUCUGCGCAUUGCAUUUUACCAUUUUUUCACAAAUAUGCAAUAAUACCGCACCAAGGCCAGGAUCACAGCGCGUCGAUUUACGACGCCCUUGCCGGAUUGCGCAAAGAGUAAUUGUGUCUCAGUCCGAGCAUGCUCGUCCAUUUCAUCCAAUAUGUUAGUUCUUGCCCACCUUUUAGGUGGGCAAGCCAACCACCUUUUAGGUGGGCAAGCCAACUCGGAGCCAUGGAAAGCUACAGUAUCUUCGCGUUCCGAUUUAUCUGGAAUGUCUCAUUUGGCAUUUCGAUAUAAAAUGGAUAUAGCAUUCAAACGCUAUUUUUUGCGGGGCGAGAUAUGUAAGCCACUGACUGACUGACUGACUGACUGACUGACUGACUGACAGCAUUGAACCCGUGGGGCUCGGCCCCCCGAAUGGCGCUUCGCGCCCGGGGCCUCGCCCAAAAAUGGCUGACUAUGAAUUAAGUUAAUGUCCACUUUAAAAUUUAUCAGCAGGUCUGAGGCCCUGAUAACCAGUGUGCCACUAAUGCGGACUUAGUGUCCGAGGCGUUUCCACUGGGCCCUUCGGCUUUUCGCGUACGGAGCCCCUUUACGCGAUGUUUUAAGGAACUUUUGCUUUCUAUUAAUGUAUUUAACUAGUUUCUUAUCGCUUGCAUGAUUUGCUGAGCCAGGUGUGAGAUUUUUUGAACUUAAUGUUAGUGUGCGGCCAAGUGGAAACACCCUGUAAAAUGCAAAAACGAGUAAUCCCAGACAUUUAAAAGACUAUCGAGUAUCAACAUGAAUGCUUUGCAGCACCUUUGAGCGGCACCCACGGUGUGGUGCAUAAUGCCGAACAAGAAGCACAUAGCUUCCACAAAACUGGGAACACCUACAGCCUUUAUAAAGGAUAACCUUCCGACCUAUCAAUCAGGAUUUUUAUGAGGCAUCGUCAAAAGUGUUAAUCCGAGAUUGUCAAUUUGGUACCUGGUGGCCACCAGGUAGCAAAUUUGUCCCACCAAGUUUGAGCUUUUAGUAUAGGAAGAAUGCUCGCAUUUCAUAGCAUAUUAAUCUAUAAUUAAUCCGCGAAGCGCGUAAAUACGGGCGGAAAUCUCUAACUAAUUGCGCCAACCUUAAUCCGCCUUAUCCGUCCUAAUCCGCGCGAUGUUUCCAUAUGCGACGGAUUAAGCCUUAAUCCGCAAUUUUUAAUCCAAGUGGAAACACCCCCUUCCUAUUAAGGCAAAGGUUGAAUAGACGCGAAGGUAGUUGCGGCCGCCUGCCGCAGUUAUAGUUGAUUUUACAUUACGACAUUAGAUUACGACAUUACAUUACGAGAUUACAUUACGACAUUACAUUACGACAUUGCAGAUAAUGGGGUGGAUUCGCAUGUGGUAAUGGACCAUUUUUUCCUUUUCCAUGACGUUGUCAAUUUUACUGCCAUUGAGAAUCGCAAAAACUUCGUCCAAAGCGGCCGCUAGGGCAAACGCCAUCGGGGCUUGCGCGGGAUGCAGCGUCAUUGCACAAGGCAGGGGCGCCGAAAACCCUUCAGUUAUAUACUUUGUGACUCUCUAAGGGGAUAUGCUGAAAUAGAAUAGCUACGCAGUUCGCGCCAACGAAGACAUUGUACGAGCGGGAAGUCGUCCGGCCUUUGCGGAUAAUUAUCGCAUAUUUGCACCCUUUGCGGAAAUAGUUCGGAAAGGGCGGAUAUCUUAGAAAACCUUAAAAUGCAGUUAUUAUUAUGUAUUUGUGCAUGGUAUAGCUAUACGAAAACUUGUGGCGGUCGUGCGCCCUGUCAGGAACAGUGCUAAGUUACAAGUUACAAGUGCCGCACGAGUGCGGGGGGGUCCGUCAAAGCCGGGAGGCCAUGGACUAUAUAUAUUGAAAGUUAAGUUCAAUUAAAGCCGAACACUUUCCGCAGUGCUCCAAUAAAAUUACUUACGUGCGGCGAGUCUAUCCAAGCAAGCUUAAGCCUUCAGGCCUUCGCCAGGUCAUUUUCGCAGCUAAGAUGCGAUGUAAAUCCAUCGCUGUAAGGUGUUUUACAAUACAGGUUGCCAAAAAGAAAAUGACGGUGCAGAUCACUGCUUUUGUCGGCUUGGAUGUAAAACCUCACAAGCAGGGACAGGGACAUCGUUCAGUGUUGAAGUAGCAAGGAUCAAGUAAAAUAUGCAAAGGCUGUUGUUAUAAAUUGUGCGGCUAGGUUCCAUGCGAUGGUAAGGAUCAACGGACCCGCACUCUUCCGCUCACAGGAAGCGAAAAAGAAAUUAUAUUUAUAUUUAAUAUGAAACAUAUAUGUGCGUGCAGGGGCCUUUAGGACGCCUGUACGGGAGUCAAGGAUGGCGCGAUGGACUGGCCUACGAAACAGUAACUGAAAAUGGUUCCAUAUGAAACACGGAAGUAUUUCAGCGUCAGAUAUGGCGGUGAAGAACUGAACCUAAGACCCCAGGUGCCCCAAUCGGUUUUAUUACGUCGAUGCGGCUGAACGAGAAACGGCCCGACCAAAUCCUGAAUUCAUGCGUACACAACUCGCUCAUAGCGCUACAGCUGUAUUGUGGCCCCACGAGGAAGGAAGGCAAACGGGAGAAAAGGAGGUAAAAUGAGGGCGACGAAAGCCACUGCCGACUUAAGUACUUUGCCUGACCCAUGACACUUAACUACUUUUUCGACAUGACUGCUAAUGCGCGUACCUGCUCAGCAGAAAGCGGGACGGCAUCCGCGCGAAAUUUGGGCAAUGCCAAGUCGCUGAAAACAGAAGACAGGUGCGCCAACUCUGAUUCCUCAGAUGAAGCACGUUGGCGCGAAAGGUUGGCGCGCAAAGGCGCGCGGAAAAGGGAACCAUAUUCAGCCAGCCGCCUGGUCAGGCCACCGCGUGUCAUCAGCUAUGGUUAGUCGAGGUGUCGCCUGAUGCGGUGGCACAAGUGGUUGACAGCUACACCAACAUACCACACCACAAUGGCAGGCGGCUGGCAGAGGUUAAGGCCUGACUUCUGCUCCCAGUCGACCCAGUCGACCCGGGUUCAAAUCCGCCUGCCGGCUCCUCGGGGGUUUGAGGAGUGAUGAAAUGGGCGAGGGGGUUUGAGGAGUGAUGAAAUGGGCGAGCUGACCAGGAACUAAGUUGAUGCGCCGUUGAUCCGCUAGAUUUGGUUGGAUGCUGGUGGUGAGUUGCUGAACCCAACGAAUACAUUCUGAAGUCGGAUGGGGUGACGGAUUAGGGUGCCCCUCUAGCAGGGGAGAGCAGGGACUGCCCCGGGAAAGGGGGCCGCUGGCGAAGUUAACCACCCUGUAACAACAUACAUAUUGCAAGCCCAGACCGUGCUGACACUCCUAAGCCUGUCAGCUGGACCAGCUCGACACUUUGCCCCCAUUUCCGACGCAAAGGCUCUUUAGGUCAUUAAGCCCCAAAGAUCAAAUCACCUUUUAGAUUCCCUUUUUGAGAUAUAGGGGUCCCCUGUAAAUGGUCUGCUGCAAAAAAGCAACACGUGCCCUGUAAAACAACAGUGACCUGCCCUACCAGCCGCAGACCUUCUGUAUACCUGUAGACUGUAGACCUGUUGUACAAUGCAGCACGCACACACACACACACACACACACACAUCAGUAGGGGUGCAGCAGUGCGUGUGGGACGUGGUCAGCCUCGCAGCACUGCCCGCCAGAAGGAACAUGCACGGGUGGGACCGCGGGCGGCAACCCCCGCAAUCCACACCCCGCACCCGAGGCCCCAGCAGCUCCGGGGCUGGAGGCGGUGCUCGGCUUCUGGCAGCAGGUUUAGGACUUUGCAGAACUCGGCGUGCCCCAGCACGGCUGGCACAGCGUGGGCCCCGACCAUUCCAUCCUAUCAGUGGUGGACGGGCGCCUGCGUUGAGUACAGCCAGUAGGGCUGGGAGAGGAAGGGGCAGGGGGAUAAAAAGGGAUGCUAGGAGGAACCCGGUAGAUGGGCUAUCCCGCUGGUGGGGGGGGAUAGGCCUGAGGGUUUCUCUUUGUUGGUCUGGGUCGGGGGCUUUUCGAGGGAGAAGGCUCGCCUCGCCACAGGUUGGGCCAGGCAGCUUCAGUGAGAGGUUUUUUGAGAGGUCGUUGCUGUAGGGCUUGGGAGGAGUGGCAGGCGAACGGGGUGGCUGUAGCGCAGGCUGGGUGACGCUGUGUGAGCUGUGCCUCGAGUGGUGUGGUGCUGCCUCGAGGUGAGCGGCCGUUGUAUCCGAUAUAGUACAGAGAUACAGUCACACCGUUAAUAUGAGUUCCUUGAAUAUUCCGUUCUCACGUGCUUUGGAAAUUUUGAUGUGAAUUUGAAGUUCAACGCACAAAUUAAGGUGAAGGUUGUGCCGAGAGUUGCUUACGCGCCGUUGGGAUCCAAGUCGACGACCGUUGAGCAGUAGCCGCGCAUAGCCAGCUGCGAUAACGAUUGUAAAUUAAUAUUCAACGCUCAUGGAAAUGGCAGCAUCUGUCACUAUUUUAUUAUACGAAACAUGUUCUUUAUUGGCUCGAUCACGGUGGUUCGGUAGUAAAGGAGUUUCAGGUUUGGAAAAUCCUGAAACCCGCUUAUUACGGGUUAAGAAUGCACGUUUAGGGAACAUAUGUUUGAUUAUUUUAAGAUAAAAAAAAUGCUUGAUUUUAUCUGCAUCAAGCGUUUGUGACCAAAGCCCACCAUUGGUGGUCGGGCACCGAUUUACACCGACCGAGUACGUCUCUGAAACCUGCUCGUCGGGCCUUACAACUUGCGGUACAUUUAAGUAUAGCACUUCCUAGAAAAAAUCAGAAAGUAUUUACUGAAUAAAACUUGUUGGACCGGCUCGCGUCGCCUCCACGGUAAGUCGGUCUAUUGCUCUCAGCUCUUCCUCCGGUACUGCUUUCCUUAAGCAGGAGGCUGGAACUAUAGCGAGGAGGCGCGCCACAUGCCUUGCAACUCUAAAAAUGUUUUUUCAUGUACUAUUUUGCGAAAAUGGCCACCUGAGUAAAAAAUCUGAUUUCAAUGCCCCUGUAGAGCCUCCUCUGGCUAGGAGCCGCUUGGAGCGUCUCGGGAGUCCACCGACUCGCGAGUUUCAACAGUGAAAGCCAAAGCUUCAGUAUCGCCACCUUCAUCGUUAUCGUUGUCGUCAUCAUCUUCAUGGUCAUGUUACCAAUGACGCUGGCAGUCCACGUCGCCCGAAAGGAACGCGCGCUUCUGUCACCGUCGAACAACCUGCACCGCCAACAGCUGCCGCUAUUCUCCUGCCUCGCAACCGUGGCAAUGCUCCGCCUGAUCCCCUACCUACUGCUGCUGUUGCUGGCGCUGCCCGGUGGCACCCUCGCACAGACUGUCCCGGGCUGCGGCUCAAGCGCCUUCAUCUAUCGCAACGGGGUCCCUGCAAAUUCGAUCGACGUGAUGUUCCGAGAUUCCCAGACAGGGGAAUCUGUUGGUUGGGGUUAUAUUGCUAUGAACUUAAGCGCAUUGACUCUACCAGAGCCCAUCGCGACCGACCAAACGGUACCCGGAACUAUAAAUAUCGCAGUGAAACUGGGGGCCUUUGUCGGAAGCAUUCAGGGCAGCGUUCAAACCGAGUCCAUGUUUCAGUCUAAUUACCCCGGCGGCGGCGCUAGUUGUUCUGGUGACUCUAAUUCCUAUAUUUCAUUCCCCAUGGACAUGCCGCAAAAUGUGGUAUUCGCCUCGACGAUGGACUACAAUGGACUCCUCACCGGCAUUCUGACAAAUCCGAUCCUCGGAAUCCCGCAAUGUCAGCCAAUUGUACUCUACCUCCUUGCGAAGUUCACAGACAAAAAUAAUUCGUCUCGUUCCGCCUACCUGGCCACGGACUGGGUGUCAGCAGGCAAUGCCUCUGACCCGGUGUGCGCCAACUCACCUACGUCCUGGGGCUAUAUUAAGGCGGAGUUUGGCGUCUGCAACUGCCCGCCAUCCCCACCACUCCUACCACCAUCACCCAACCCCCCAAUGCCGCCCUCACCUUCGCCACCUUCACCAAGCCCUCCAUCACCCUUGCCACCUAGGCCGCCAUUCCCAUUACCACCACCACCUCCACCACCACCGCCACCAAGAGUGUCACCAUCACCACCACCGUCCCCCUCCCCGCCACCACCUUUGCCGCCACCCUCUCCACCUCCACAACCCCCGCCUUCGGUCCCCUCCCCCCCUCCCCCUCCGCCAUCCCCGGCACCCCCGCUGCCUCCCCCCCCAUCCCCUCCUCCUUCACCACCUCCUUCACCUUUACCCCCACCUCCCUUACCGCCGUCCCCACCACCACCUUCUCCACCACCGCCACCCCUGCCACCCCCGCCUCCCCCCCCAUCCCCUCCUCCUCAGCCGCCCCCUCCUCGCCCACUCAGUCCCCCUCCCCUGCCACCCUCGCCAUCCCCUCCCCCCCCACUUUCCCCUUCUCCACCACCACCACCCCGCCCGCCCCCACCGGCACCUAAGGCUCCUAGGUCUCCCCGAGCCCCCAAACCCCCCAAAGUCCCCAAGGCACCCCAGCCUCCACCUCGACCCGCAAACAACCUGCUCGUCAACAAGUUCCCCUUCUCGUCCUGCAGCGCUAGUGACGUCAGCCUCACACCGUACCGGAUGACGUCACCCAUGGGGCCGUUCAACGUAACCGCCACCGCCGCCACCUACUGCUUCCGGAUCUCCGCCUCAGCAACAGUGGACAGCACCAGCCCAUGUGCGAGAAUGGUCAUCAAUGAGCUUCAAAUCGUCAUCGGUGAGUAGCUAUAUGCUACCUAGCUACCUAGCUACUUAGCUACCCAAGCUACCUAGCUGGUCGUGAUCAUCGUGGUGACCUCCAUGCACCUCAUCAGUUGUGCGCUCAACAUGCAUGUAUGUGUGUGGUGUGUGUAGGGGUCCCUCACUCCGCACACCGCCUUCAUCCGCUCACGGCUCACCCAGCUGCAGGGAGCUUUAUUUCCCCUCCAAUAUUAAUCAAGAUAAUCAACACCGACUCCGCCCUGUUUCCCCCCCGACCCCAAACACCCUCCCCGGCCUACAUGGUUCACCGCAGACCCCAGCUGCGUGGAGUCCUUCCCCAACUCCUUCAGGGUCACCACCGUCAACAGUGUGACGGUGUCCCCCGUCUACAGCUACAGGACAUGGCGGGAGCAGACGUACGGUGUGAUGACGAUCACGUCCCUGGCGAGUACCUUCCCCGUAACCCCCGCUGGCGGCCUGUAUGUAUGUCUGGCCAUGAGUCGAAACAGCAGGUGUGGCACUCCGGCGGGGCUGUGCUACGGAAACAGCUGCGCGUACUCGCUGCUCAAUGCGGACAACAGCUGCUGCCCCGCCAGCCAGGUGCCGUACUAAUAGGUGGAAGGUUCCUGCAGUAUUGACGACUAUGCGAAGCAUGGCAUAAGUAGCCCUUGAUGCAGAGAUGGCUUGGCCGGAGAGGAUAGGCUAAGUUAAGUACCAAUGAUACAAAAUAUAGGCGUAUUAUCCCCAUGACUUGUCAUGUUGAUGUGUUCAUAUCACAUGUGUAUUAUCAAAGCCAUUGUUAAGGAUGAGGAUUAUGUUGUCGCAAGGGGUACGAGUUCGAAUGUCACGAACUUCGAAAAGCUCCGAAAAUAGAGAUCAUCACGAAAAAAUUUGUCCACAACUUCUUGCACGAGGUUCCUUCUUGCACGAGGUUCCUAGGUCGGCGCCGAUUUGCCCCUGGCCCUGUGCUGCCACGAUUAAAUUCACUGGCAUAGAUGUAUGUGCGCCACGUCAGGGUGCUUGAUGGCGGGUUGGUUGGAUAUCCAACCACAUAUGGCAGUGGACGGUUUUAGGCGAAGACUCGCAGCCCGGAUAGGGGCCGCAGGGUUCUUCAUAUACCUGCGAGAAAAUAACGUGUGAUAACCAAUAGCGCAGCCUACCGAGCCCCCACCCUCCCAACCCCUUCAUCAUCGGUCCCCUCCAAUCACGACGGGAUCCAUGUCCUGGAGUGAUAAACCUUUUAACAUGUUUUUUCAACAUGUUUUUCAAUGUUGCUUCGUCUCAUGAUGGUUUCCGUCCCGGUUCUAAGGCACGUGUGUGAGCAUGUGUGUGUGUGUGUGCACCAAGCUUAUUACCGCCAUCAUCACACUGCAUCACGCCGCCGUGGCAACGUGUGCAAUCGCCUCAAAAGUAUCUACGACCUGUAACAGCGGUUUGCGCUGCUCGGGGUCCCGCCACCCGGACGGAAACCAUCAUGAGACGAAGCAACAUUGAAAAACAUGUUGAAAAACAUGUUAAAAGGUUUAUCACUCCAGGACAUGGACCCCGUCGUGAUUGAGGGGACCGAUGAUGAAGGGGUCGGGAGGGUGGGGGCUCGGUAGGCACGUAAUAUCAUAAUAUCAUAAUAAUAUCAUAAUAUUUCAUUAGAACCGUUGCUAGUGUUUCAACUCUUGCUCUGGUUUGAUGGCGAAUGUAAUUAUCAUCCUCAUAGUCUGUAAUUACGUGAGCUUAUCUUCAGCAGCAGAAGAGUCCCUCGCUGAGUGAAGCUCUACCAACUGGCCGAUUACGCGGGACAGUUGAUGUAUGAUCGUCGUACAGGCAAUGAGGAUCGCUUAGCAGAUACCAAGUGGAAGAGGAUAGAGUCCACACCAAAUGGGAUGCCAAAUCGUUACACGAUUGGGAAGAGCGAAUUAAUAAGCCAUCUUAAGCAUACAACAGUUGCGCAGCACGUUAAGCGCUAAUUAUAGUUUAAUUAUAGUUUAAUAUGCUAUGAAAUGCGCGAAUUCUUCCUAUUCUAAAAGCUCAAACUUGGUGGGACAAAUUUGCUACGUGGUGGCCACCAGGUACAAUCUCGGAUUAACACUUUUGACGAUGCCUAAAAAAAGCCUGAUUGAUAGGUUGGAAGGUUAUCCUUUAUAAAGGCUGUAGGUGUUCCCAGUUUUGUGGAAGCUUUGUGCUUCUUGUUCGGCAUUAUGCACCACACCGUGGGUGCCGCUCAAAGGUGCUGCAAGCCUUGCAAGCCUUUCCAGGUUGCAGAAGUAAUGAUGCAUAGCAGCAAUGAACCGGAACCACCAAACGCAACCUGUUUCCUGGCCCAUCGCGAUUGUAUCCAUAUGAGGAACAUUGAUGUUUGGCCCGCUCGCUGUUGACAACCGGAAUGGCGUCAUUGUCGUCGGCUGGCUGCAGCAUUGCAUCCACAUUGCCUACGACCCCUACACCGUCUUCAUUAACGUCGCUAAUGGCUUCAGUGAAAUUUAGUAUCUGCUUUAAUGGCCUUCAAUGCUUUGGGAGCUUCGGGUCCGAAUGUUUUGCAGCGUUUGGUCCGGUCAGAAACAGUCCGAUUCCUCGUUGACUUUUGGGCGUGAGCUUCCUAACAGUAUCCAUGGCAUUAAAGUACUAUGAUAUGGGUAACAUGUAUGUCUCCUGUAAGAUUCUAGCGGCUUUGGCAUGGACAGUCCAUUUUUGGCUGGAGGAAAAACGGUUGGAACAUUAUUUAUUCUUAACUUUCAGGACCACGAACAUUUUUUAUUCCGAAUUCGGAAUAUAUUCCGCAAAAAAAUAACGCUGCCUCAUGAUGGCCACUUUCGCCUCGCCUUUCACGUUUCUUCUACACGCUGGCGUUCAUAUUCUUCUCACGGAGUUGAUCUCCUACGUAAAGGCUAUGGAGCACCUGGACCGUUCGGGCGAGCCCUUUUGAGGCAAUAUUUCCGAACUCAAGAUGGGCCCACCCUGCCCGUGUCAGGCAUUCGUCGCGUUUCGCGUUUCGCGUGUGCUGUGGUCCGUUUGGGGCGGAGGUUCGCAUCCGGUUUUGCCCACUUUAGGCAACCCGCACAUUCACCGGCUCAGGAUCAGUGAUUUUUUUUUCAUUUAGGGGGGGUCUCAAUUUAUUCCAACCUAAGUAACAAAGUUGCUAGCGUCACCGUAAUGUAUUCCUUGGGGGCGCUGGGGGACCCCCCAGACCCCCCCCCAUAAUUUACAACUCCCCUCAUAGACAAAGAGGCACGCACUGCGUUGGCGCGUUUUCGUUCAUGUGCGCACUCUUCAUGCACAUGCAUACAUAGUUCUGGCAUUGUUUGUGAACAAAAAGUAAAUCCGACAAAGCAAAGGCCCAAAGCAAGCAACCGCAUAGCAAAUCACAGGCCGUCACCCGCCACUGCAAACCACAGCACACUAGGACUCUACCGGUUCAUCAUGUACCGGCCCCUGCUGCUGCUGUCCAGCCACUCCCUCAGUGCGUCACGGAACGGGAACGUGCCCAGGUCGAACAGGUCCUGGGUAAACAUCCGCACACAUAAUGCUAGGUGCGGGUUGGGCGCCUCGCCGCAUUCGUUGUUGUCGAGCUGAUUGGGUGACAGCUUGCGCUUAUGCUGAUCACAACCGCCAUGGAAGGCAGGGGUAAUGGCGCCCGUGUCAUCGGUCGCCGCUGGCAGCAACACCAUUGCCGAUGCAUUACCGACAACAGCACCGCCGUCCCAAACGUCUUUAUCAGGAAAAAAAUCAGGCUUAUCUUGCUGUUUUGGUGUUUGUUAAGCAGCCUCUCGCACAAAUGUGUCCGGUCGUACUUCGCGAAUAAAAGGUCCGUACAUGACGCCCCAAAAGCCAGGAGCGAAUUUUACCGCGCAGAUGCGCGCGUGCGAUUCUCCAAAUGCGCCUGUACAAGUGUAUAUAAAUUUUCUUGGCGGAAAAGGACCAGGUGCGCCAGCGCAUUGCGCAGGUGGGCAUGUUGGCCAUAGUCGCACCCGGCAUACAGGCUGGACUAUUGCGUGGCUGCUUUGCAGUAUCUGAAAGCACCAAAAGCCUACGUCGUAGCUUGCAACACUGGGCUCGUGAAACUGCCGCAAGAAGAUGAAGCGCUGGCGAAGAGGCAGUUGUGUGCAGCACCUUGUUCAGAGUAAAGUCAAAUUACAAAGUUGCGCAAAGUAUAACAUACAUAAACUGAAUUAAACAUAAGAACAGAUAAGACGUUUAGAGCCUUGUCGGUGACAUGGACGCCGCUGUUGGCUUGGAACAGCUAUUUGCUGUGCAUAGGGACGUGCCCGCGUUAGCCGUGUUGCAACAGCUCAGGAUGGAUUUCAGCCAGCAACCGCCUGAAGAGCUGCUGCACAACCACCGGGAAUGUCUUCAGUUGAGCACGUGUAGUUUUGGUCGGCGGGGUCGAGCAACGUACGCAAUGCGCACAGAAACCAAGGUGCAGCGCCGCUGCUGCAAGGUGCAGCGCCGCUGCGCAAGGUGCAGCGCGCGCUGUUACAGAACGGCGUUCUGUAACAUCGCCAACAUAUCCGGUACGCGGUGGCAGGCUUGCCGAGCACGAAAUGAAGGGGGGGUCGCAUCUCACCAUUUAACUAAGCAUGCAUGUGCUCGGUUGAAUGCUCGGUAGCGUGCGAGUUUACCCCUAUCAGGAUGUUUGUUUGCAUAUCCCUCCAAGCGAGAGGGCUUGGACCUAUGCUGAUGUUCGUUCCAAGAAGUGAACUGAGGACUGAUGCUACGUUGAAAGAUUUGCACGUCAAUUCGCCCGUGCAAUAAAACGCCCUGUAACUCGCUUACCCUAAUCUCACAUUCCAAUAUGCCACUGCACUUUCCUCUCCAGCCUGGGCACAUUCUCUUCCUCGCAAACGUACUUGGGCACCUUACAAUCCAACACCAUACGGGCUUUGGAAACGCGGGCAGCUGCUUCACAAGGACCCCCCUAUUUCGGCGUUCAAGUCGUUGCCUUUUGCGUGUUUGGCUAUGUAAGUACCGGUCAUACAUUCUGCUAUGCCGCGUUGACUCACGGGCUUGACCUUCUUACGGCCCCUCAUAUCUAUUCUAUGAUCGAUAAUACUAAGUUCUGCACACUACGGAGCAAUCUGGCAGCAAUGGACGUUUUUGGCUGGAGGAAUGAAAAUGUACGGAUCGGCCUCAAUUUGUUCCUUAUUUCCAAAGGCCAAAAUGGCCUCUUUAUUCCUUAAAAGGAAUAUAUUACUUAAAAAAACACUGCUCAGGAUAUCCUGAGUUGGGUGCUUUUACCGUGUUUCGUUGGAACAACAGAGGGCAUUUAGCCCAGUGAUUUAAGUGCGCCUUGGCCUAACUAGCUGGACACUUAGUGCAAGCAAUAGGGCCCCUACAGUGUUGCCUGCUCAGGCCUGCGCCUGCUAUAUAUAUGUAUAUAUAUUUUGUAUAUCUACAAUCGGCGGAUGGCCCCCGGAUACAAUCGGCGGAUUUACGUUAUUGCCCGUGGGCCAUCCGCCGAUUGGCAUAAUAAUGAUAUGUAAUAUUACAUUAUUAAUAAUGUAAUUAUUCGCCACGUCAUUAUUAUGCCAUUAUUCGCCUGUUUUAGGUCUUAUCGUCUAUAAAUUUUGCAGUCGUGCAAUAGGUAGGCACCGUCCCUACCUAUUAUUAUACUGUGCUAGGGCGGCGCGGUCUACAUAUAGACGAUUGAAAAUUGCAGACGUUAAGUCCAUAUUCAGGAUUAUUGCCAGAACUGGACUGCGGGUAGACUCCGCCUGUGCUUUCUAGCUGCUGCUGUGUGCCGUCGAAACCGACAUGCACGCGGCUCUGCGCCACGCACCCGCUAACGCUCGCUUGACGGACUAAUGUUUUAGAUCGUAGGCGGGGCCGUUGCUGGUGAUGUUAUGGAUAAGUGAGACUGCAUCUGUGGUGUAGACUGAUGACCUCGACUGACGAUUGGUUGAGUAUUAUUGCGACAAGCCUCGCCUAGUGGCGGCGACUGUUGGCCAGCCAAAACUCACCCGAUGCGGCAGAAGCUGCUGCUGCAUGCGUAUGUCUUCUUGGUAUCUUCAAGAUACCAAACAAGUUGUUCGUUAUGCUUAGCGGGUUGCGGUGUUGCUGAUUGCCUGCUGGUAGGUUCGCCCGCAUAUGACACACACAAUCUGGUCUGGUCUGGGUUGACACUACUGCAAUUAGCGGUUUAAGGUUCUGGGUUCGAUUCCUGGGGAGACCCCCGAAUUAGUCGGGAGCGCGAGAUUAUGGCUAGCUGCUGAGAUGCGGAGUUGAGGUCACAGUUGAUGGACCAGAUUCGCACGCUGGAUUGGUGGCGAUUGCCGAACCCUCCGUCUCUUCGGGUGUUCGGGUGAAUGGAUGAGGAGGGGUCCCCGAAGGCUGGAUCCGCCGCCUUGGACUUACAGUUCGUAUGGCGAAGUACAGUGUGGUAGUGGUGGAUGGUGCUAUAAGGUGAUAAAUGAUCUAGAACUGACAAUGUGAUAAAGCGGCCCAGAAGCUUCCCACUCUGUAACAUUACAUUACAUUACAUUACACACAAUCUUACUGCUUGCCGACUACCCUAUGGCAUAAAAUGGGGGGCAACACUCCCUUAAGGUUUACCCUGCG
rnacentral:lncRNA from 1 species